AAAUAAAUUAUAAAUGUUGAAUAUUUUUAUGUGUUGUGAUAUUUUAUUGUAGUAAUUAUAUAAGUUUCUAUGGUGAUUUGUUCAAUGUUGUGGUGUUGUAUAUGAUGUUGUAAAAUUCUGUAUUUGAUGAGUUGAUGUUUAUUAUUGAGUUUAUGUGUGGGACGUAUUGAGAUGAUGCUAUAAACUUUGUGAUUGUGAAUAAUGCGUGUUAUUGAUGGGUUAACGACUAUUAUUGAGAUUAAAGGUAGAAUGUAAUGAGAAUGUGUAUGGAUGUGUGAUUUGAACAUGAAACUAUGUUAUUUUCCUUGUAUUGUCGUCGAUCAUGUUUGAGUUUUUCGUAUUGCGCUACGAUAAGAAUGUGAUGUGUUGGACUCUCGUUUACGAGAUAGUGAUUCGAGUGUCAUUUCCCUCUGCGCGGGGAGGUGGAUGUCUCGCCCAAAGGGCUUUUCGAUAAGUUGGGGAGAUAGGUCAGAAGUUGCGAUGGAAGACGACUCGAAUUGCCCUGUUGAGGAAACAGGUACCUGUUAGUGAUAACAGGUCAUGACGACACAAUAUGAGAAAACGACAUUGGUUCAUGUAUGUGUGGCUAUGAUAUUAAUGUUGUGAUGAAAUAUGUUAUAUGAUUAUAUUACUCUGUGAUUAAAAUGAAAUAUGCUUUUUGUGUGUUAUGGUAUUUUUGGUUGCUCACCCGGAAAGUUGUGGCUGUGGUUUCCACCUAUGAUGAUCGUACUUGUACAGGAGUAGAUGACAUUGCAGAUAAAACUAGAUCGAGGUAGCUGACGUGAGAGUUGGGAUAUCUGAGUUCGGGGAUUUAUUAUUUUUAAAAGUUUUCCGAUUUGAUAUUUUUAUGUAAAAGUGAUAUUCUAAGAUUUUCGAACGAUGUUUAUAGUGAUGAUUUAAUUCCGCAUUUGAAUUGAAUAUAUUAUAGAAAUGUUUUAAAAAUAAAAAAAAAAAUUACACAGUGACAUCUCGAAAAAUCAGGGUGUUAUACAAAACCCCCCCACUUCGUGUUUGACCUGAUUCUCGAACCACGGUUUGGUCCUUGAGAGACGACCUAGGAGUCACUUCCUAGUCUAUACUGCAUUCUUUAUGCACAUUAAAUUUUCAUGGGGUGUGACACCCAUAAAAUUUUGGCACUGUUGUCGAGGACUAACGGUUCGGUUUUAGGUCUUUUGUUGUGUUAGUGUGUGUUGUGUUUUGUUUUGUGUUGUGAGUGUGAUUUUCUAUUUUGUGUGUGCAUGUCGCAUGUUUAAUUGUGGUGUGUUUUGUUUGUUUCGUAAUUUUUAGCAUUUCCUUUCUACCUUCCCCCUUCUUUUUCCAUGUCUACCUAUUUUGAUUAUGUGAAUACUGCUUCUUCUGCUUGUGCCUAUGACUAUGAUUCUCCUUCUGCAUGCUAUUCUGAUUGUGAUGU
rnacentral:lncRNA from 1 species